AUGUCAGAGAUAUUUCCCAUAAAUAUUAAAGGGGUAGCUGGAAGCCUAGCAACACUGGUGAACUGGUUUGGUGCAUGGACAAUUUCCUACACUUACAACUUUCUUAUGAGCUGGAGCUCCUAUGGUACCUUUAUUCUUUAUGCUGCAAUCAACGCCCUAGGUAUUUUGUUCGUGGCCAAGGUGGUACCAGAAACCAAAGGGCGAACCCUGGAACAAAUUCAAGCAGCCAUUAAUGCAUAGAGAGACAGAAAUGAAGCAAAGAUCAUCAUAUCUUGUAAAUAAAUGCUAUUACAUAACUAUGAUCCCAGCAAAAUGGGAUCUGGGAAGGAAUUGCUGGAGAUGACCUUGCCAUCAUUUAUCUGUAAAUGGGCACUUGAAUUUGUUCCAGGG
rnacentral:misc_RNA from 1 species